AUCGUUUAUAUUUCUCCUAUUCUUCUGCUCCUACUUAUUGUCUGUUUGGUUUACUGUUGGGAAGCGAAACACACAUUUGUGCCGAUGCUUGAAUUCUCAGUUUCUAAUUCCACGGCCAAAAAGUGCAUUGGACGCGAUUUUUUUAGUUGCCGCAAUUUAAGUUGUUUAAUUUAUCUACUUUGAUCGUUUUCAUUAUGUUUUUCUGUGUUUUGGUGUUGUUGGUCGAAUUUCCCCUUGAAUUAUUAUGAAUGAUGUUUGUUGUCGGUUCUUAGACAAAAUCCAUUUGCAAUUUAUUAAAAUAUGUGUCGUUUCAAGGAUUCUAUAUUGAUUGUGUACUACUCUGGUGGAUGAUAAUUUUCCAUUUGGAGACUUUGUUGAUAAACAUUUCAAUGCAGAAAAGGAAUGUGAAGCAUUUAAGGCGUGGGGAUUAGAAAAUUGUGCCCAAGUUAUGUUAGAAGAUUCUGUUCGAUGGGUCUGUUCCAAUUUGGUCGAAUUAUGUGUUUUAGUGUUUGUUUAUGGGUAAGUAAAUUUGGUUGAAUUUGGGUGAUUAUAAGGAUGCAUGAAUUAUGUGUUUUAUGGGUACUGGGUAGUAUAUUUUGUAGUUGGUUUGAUGGCAAUGUUUAUGGUUCAGUAAUGACCAUGUUUAAGUCUACUGAUUAUUAUUAUUGGUUUUAAAGAACAGUGCAGCGAAACUCAGAGAAACUAAGUGCUAAGAAGUUGGGAAUUGUGGAUUUGAAACAGCGGCCCAGUGUAUCAAAUGUCUCUAUAUUAUUUGUUUAAUUAGUAAAUUAUCAAUGUUUUGAAUAUUAGUUGUGGUAAAUGCCGUGGUUGUAUCACGAUCUUUAGUGUUGCAGUGAGAUGCAGUCAAUGCGGUUUCAGUCGCGGCCGCAUUCCUGUUUCGAUAACAUUUAUCACGUCGCAGUCCAGACUGUGGUCACGGACCUCUAUUUAAAACCUUAUAUAUUGUAGUAAAAAAAUUAAAAAUUAUAUAAUUAUCUGUGGUUUGACUGAUGUUGAACAUCAUUCUGACACAGUUCAUGUUCCAUCACUUUAUUAACAAGGUUAGAACAGAAAACACAUUAACACAUUCUCUCCUUUAACUUUUUUCAGGUGGCCAUGCUCUUGGUUCUUUUUAUUGAAUAGCAUUGAGCAACAAAAUUGAAAAAUAACACUUGCAGAACAUUUUCAUUGUAAAUUUGAUCAAUGGGUUCUAGAUUUGUGGAAGGAGAACAAUCAUCACUCACUGACGAUUAGGAUGCCUUGAUUUCGACGACUGAUGUUGAGCUUCUCAAGCGAGCUUGGCGUAAUGAAAAGGCAGCCCCCCUGAGAUUCUUCGUUUUGAAUCUGAUUUGAUCAACCGCGUCAAAGGACAGAUUGAAUUGAUGGUUGAGGACCACUUCAACAAUUUUGGAAUGGACAUUUGCAGAUAUCUCGAAGGUCAAGAUGAAAUAAGAAUUUUCAGGAUACGAGUGACAAUGAGCUGGGAGGAGAGUUCAUACAUUGGUAAAGUUGGGAGAACAAUUAUUGAUGCUGGUAAACUCUUCUGACUUGGCCUCUUUUAUACGUAACUCUAAUGAUUAUCAUAAAUUACUGUGGUGAACAUGGACUAAUGAUUUAGAAUGCAUUAAGUUUAUGUAUGCUUAUUCCGUAAUGCGAGAAAAGAAAACUGAAUGCUAGCUUAUUUUCUAAUAAUUCAGAAUGCAUCAAGUUUUUGCAGGUUUAUGUUAAGUAGUGUUGACUACCCCAUUCGACACCCUAGCUCGCCAAAAUGACCUCUUGCUUAUGGAAAAAACCUAACCAGCCCGCUACGCAUUAUGUCAUCCACCAAUAAAUUACUCUCACAUUUUUCCUAGAAAAAGCAGCCAACUGCAGUUUAAGUUUGCUACAUUGUAAAUGACAUAAAAUUCUCCUUAUGUAUUCCAUAGAAAAAGCUACACUACCAAUGUUUAUGUAAUACAAUUUCAUAAACAAUCUGGUGUUGCACCUGCUGUGAUAGAGUUUGUAUUUGUUAAAGCAUUGUUUGUUUUCCUGAGAAUGAGCAAUCGCAUGUUCAUACUUUCAUUAGAAUAGCUCUAAACGACCCAUAUCCACAUCGUAGCUUCUUCCAGGUGGUCACUUCAUUGGCAGAAAAUGAAUAUUUAGUAGUUCUUCUGGAGACAAUCUGAUUAAGUUAUUGGCACGGGUGCAUAGAUUGAAUAAUAAGUAGUACUAAUAGAUUACUCAUUUUGUUAACUGCCUUUAUUAUUUUCUCACUUGGAUUUAGUACAAAUUGAUUAUUGGUCA